rnacentral:rRNA from 1 species
CGAUGGAUACCUAGUUCGUCGUCAGUAUAGACCCGAGCUGUACCGAAGCUUACGCAUUAUGUAUCCCCGCCUGGGGAAUACGCACGCAACUGUGCAACUCAAAGGAAUUGACGGGGGCCAGCUACAAACGGUGGAUUAUGUGGUUUAAUUCAAUGCAACGCGAAGAACCUUACCAGGGCGUUGAUAUGUCCGCAAUCCCGCGUGAAAGACUGGGAGUGCCUUCGGGAGCAGGAACACAGGUGGUGCAUGGCUGUCGUCAGCUCGUGUCGUAGAAAUGUUGGAUUAAGUCCCGCAACGAGAGCAACCCUCGUCUUUAGUUGCCAGCAUUAAGUUGGGCACUCCUAGAGAGACUGCCGGUGACAAACCGGAGCACGGUGGGGAUGACCUCAAGUCAGCAUGCCCACUAACGUUCUGGGCGACACACGUACUACAAUGGUCGGGACAGAGGGCAGCGAACCCAUGAAGGCAAGCUAAUCCCAACAAACAGGCACUCAGAGCAGAUGAGCAGGCUGCAACUCGCCUGCGUGAAGGAGGAAU